rnacentral:miRNA from 1 species
UCUCUCUCUCUCUCUCUCUCUCACACACACACACACACAGAGAGAGAGAGAGAGAGAAAGAGAGAGA